AUUGAACGCUGGCGGCAGGCCUAACACAUGCAAGUCGAGCGGAUGAAGGGAGCUUGCUCCUGGAUUCAGCGGCGGACGGGUGAGUAAUGCCUAGGAAUCUGCCUGGUAGUGGGGGAUAACGUCCGGAAACGGGCGCUAAUACCGCAUACGUCCUGAGGGAGAAAGUGGGGGAGCUUCGGACCUCAUGCUAUCAGAUGAGCCUAGGUCGGAUUAGCUAGUUGGUGGGGUAAAGGCCUACCAAGGCGACGAUCCGUAACUGGUCUGAGAGGAUGAUCAGUCACACUGGAACUGAGACACGGUCCAGACUCCUACGGGAGGCAGCAGUGGGGAAUAUUGGACGAUGGGCGAAAGCCUGAUCCAGCCAUGCCGCGUGUGUGAAGAAGGUCUUCGGAUUGUAAAGCACUUUAAGUUGGGAGGAAGGGCAGUAAGUUAAUACCUUGCUGUUUUGACGUUACCAACAGAAUAAGCACCGGCUAACUUCGUG
rnacentral:rRNA from 1 species